GAUGAACGCUGGCGGCGUGCCUAAUACAUGCAAGUCGAGCGAAUGGAUUAAGAGCUUGCUCUUAUGAAGUUAUCGGCGGACGGGUGAGUAACACGUGGGUAACCUGCCCAUAAGACUGGGAUAGCUACGGGAAACAGGCGAUAAUACCGAACAACAUUUUGAACAGCAUGGUUCGAAAUUGAAAGGAGACGUUGGCCGUCACUUAUGAAUGAACCCGCGUCGCAUUAGCUGGUUGGUGAGGUAACGGCUCACCAAGGCAACGAUGCGUAGCCGGCCUGAGAGGGUGAUCGGCCACACUGGGACUGAGACACGGCCCAGACUCCUACGGGAGGCAGCAGUAGGGAAUCUUCCGCAAUGGGCGAAAGUCUGACGGAGCAACGCCGCGUGAGUGAUGAAGGCUUUCGGGUCGUAAAACUCUGUUGUUAGGGAAGAACAAGUGCUAGUUGAAUAAGCUGGCACCUUGACGGUACCUAACCAGAAAGCCACGGCUAACUACGUGCCAGCCGCCGCGGUAA
rnacentral:rRNA from 1 species